UGCUCGACGCUUCCAUGGAGAAAGGGACCUAGGUUAGUUUUUUUUAUUUCCUCUCAUUUCCACUCAAAUUCUCACCAAAAGCCAUGAUGCCAUGCAUGAAUCUUUAAGGAAAAAGGCUAGUGAAUCCAUUCCACCACUCCAUUUGGGCUGAUUUGGCUUGUGGAGAGAGUUAUUCAUCAAACCCAAUUCGUGACACUAUUCAUGCUUGUAGAAAAGUGGGGCUUUUGAGUGAGUAAAGCUUGAGGUUUGUUCUUUGGAGCUUGGAAUAGCUACUAUAGGUGUACCUAGGGACUAAAAAGGAAUCAGAAUCUCUUGAAGAUAUAUAAGUAACUUGUGCAACAAGUAAGGGUAUUGGUAAAGCUUCAAGAGGUGCCCAGAUUCCCGGUGAGUCCUCACUAGGCAGGGACGCGACACGUGGCUGAGGCAGUUGACGGAUUGGAUUUUGAAUGGCCGUAGGCUACUACUUUUUGGAAGUAUAUUUAUGUCAUUUUGUAUUUCCGCCUU